AAGGCCUUUGGUCUGGGCUAGAGUCCUAGAAGCUGGGUUAGAGUCCUAGAAUAUUUUCCUUUAGGUCGGUUUGUAGUCCCGACUUGGGUUCCAGAGAGACUGUUGAUCUGAUCUUAAAUACAUUGCACUUUCAAUUUUACUUACUAAAAAGCCUUUUUAACUUUCAAUUUAAUUUUCUCUUAAAUACAUUGCACUUUCUAUUUUACUCAUUUCUUGCAUAUGUUUUCUUUUACUUAUCUAUUAUUUUAUUUUAUUGUAUGACAAUGUUUAUAUGUGAAGCACUUUGAGUCUGCCUUGUGUAUGAAAAGUGCUAUAUAAAUAAAGUUGCCUUGCCUUGC